UGUAUUUAUUAGAUUAAAAACCAAUGCCCUUCGGGGCUCUCUGGUGAUUCAUAAUAACUUCUCGAAUCGCACGGCCUUGCGCCGGCGAUGGUUCAUUCAAAUUUCUGCCCUAUCAACUUUCGACGGCUGGGUCUUGGCCAGCCAUGGUGACAACGGGUAACGGAGGGUUAGGGCUCGACCCCGGAGAAGGAGCCUGAGAAACGGCUACUACAUCCAAGGAAGGCAGCAGGCGCGCAAAUUACCCAAUCCCGACACGGGGAGGUAGUGACAAUAAAUACUGAUACAGGGCUCUUUCGGGUCUUGUAAUUGGAAUGAGUACAAUUUAAAUCCCUUAACGAGGAACAAUUGGAGGGCAAGUCUGGUGCCAGCAGCCGCGGUAAUUCCAGCUCCAAUAGCGUAUAUUAAAGUUGUUGAGGUUAAAAAGCUCGUAGUUGAACCUUGGGCCUAGCCGGCCGGUCCGCCUCACCGCGUGCACUGGCUCGGCUGGGUCUUUCCUUCUGGAGAACCGCAUGCCCUUCACUGGGUGUGCCGGGGAACCAGG
rnacentral:rRNA from 1 species